rnacentral:rRNA from 1 species
AUGGCGACCGGCGCACGGGUGAGUAACGCGUAUCCAACCUGCCCUUUACUAUGGGACAGCCCGUCGAAAGGCGGAUUAAUACCGUAUGUUGUCAUGUUGAUGCAUAUUUUCAAUGACCAAAGGCUUCGGCCGGUAAAGGAUGGGGAUGCGUCUGAUUAGCUUGCCGGCGGGGUAACGGCCCACCGGGGCGACGAUCAGUAGGGGUUCUGAGAGGAAGGUCCCCCACAUUGGAACUGAGACACGGUCCAAACUCCUACGGGAGGCAGCAG